AUUAAGUCCAACAGGGAUCGCGUCGGCUCGGCCUUGCGGGGAGCGGUGGUGGCGCGGCCUGCGCGGGGAGACGGCAACGCGGCCUGCAAGGAGCAGCGGCCUGCGCGGGAGCAGCCACAGACGCGCGCGCAGUGCACGGGCGCGGCGACGCGCACAGCGCACGGAUGUGGAGCAGAGCCAGAGCACGCGCAUGCUAGGAAUCCAGCAGCUGGUCGCCCAUCCCAUCUAAUCUCUCUGAUUUUGCUGUGAUUGUGGGUUAGGGACAUCUCCGUGGCGAGCAGAUUGGGGAUUCAAAUUACUGAACCUUCCACUGGGAAUUCGCGAAAUUACUGAAGCACUCGACAUCUUCUCUCAGUAAUUGAGCUAUUACUCGUCCUGUUCUAACUUUUCUCCCUGUGUUUUGCUGUGAUGGAUUGAUGGAGUUCAGCAAUUUAUGGCAUGAUUUCUAGUUUUAUUGUUAGCCAUCGAGAUCAGUAUCCGGCGCUAGAUGGUUCAGUAAUUGGCCUAUUCAAUCUUUAUUGAGUUACUUAAGAUGAAAAUUUUACUAGCUCAGUAUUUCUUCUAUUUUCAGUAGUUUUCAGGUAGUAUCAGGAGAUCUAUUCAAUCUAUUGUAGUUCAGUAGUCUAGUAUUUAGCUUUUUAAUCCAGCAGUUCAGUAAUACCAGUAUGUUCAGUAGUCUAGUAUUUUCAGUAGUGUCGAGAGCUUUAUUCAAAUCUCAUGUAGUUCAAUAGUCUGGUAUUAUCCUUUUGAUACAGUAGUUCAGUUGUCUAGUAUUAUCCUUUUGAUCCAGUAGUUCAGUAGUCUAGUAUUUUGAUCCAAUAGUGAAGAAAAUUGAUUCGCCAGUAAUCGAGCAAUCCCUACAAAAGGUACUUGUUCAGUAGGUUUUUUGAAGUUUUAGUAGUAUCAAUUACUAAGCUCUCUCGAUCUCAUGUACCUCGGUGGUCCAGUAAUUUGUAUUGUGUCGUGUGAUGGCAGUAGUUCAUUAGUUUUUUUUUUCUUUUUUUGCAGUAGCUCGGUAGUCCAGUUAUUCAAUUACCGAAGAAAUGUAUUCGCCUGUUAUCAGCAUAUCACCAGAAAAUGCAUUUGUUCAGUAGUUUCUGUAGUUCAGUAUUUUUUCAGUUAACAGGUUCUUUCAAUCUAUUAUUGUUUGGUAUUCCAGUAUUUGUAUUUCAGUUAAUGUGCGGAGAGCAGCGGUGGCGCGUGCCACUGUGCCUUGAGUCGGGCACGUGUGAGCUGUACCGAGGCGAGCAGUUCAUGAGGUCAACUUUGAGUCAUUGGAUGCUGCAUACUUUGAGUGCAUUUGAUUGCUCGUUCGAGGGGCAAGCACAAGUCGAAGGUUGGGGAUGACCACAAGACAUCAAAGACAUCGAAUCAUAGUGGGUGCAAAAAAGCAAUGGUCCGUGCUAGAACAGCGGGGAUGGAAGGCGUGCCCUUUUUACACGCAUUGUGCUUCAGCAUAGCCACAAGCUCAUCCCUGCAGCGCACACGAUGAUUUCUCAAAUCAUGGAAAUACUAAAAUUACUGAUGUACCAUGGCUAGUUGUUUUUGAUGAAACAAAAAAGCACAUUGCUGAUGAUCUGUUGUAUUACUGGAUUACUGGUUACAUUGGUCAUAACAUGUUC